ensembl:lncRNA
ACUCAUUUGUUGCUCUCAUUGACUACUGCCCCAUCUCAUUAAUCAAUAUUCAUUUCUACAAAUCUCUGGUGCAGUUGGUUAGCAGACCCAGAGCAAGUAAAACUAUAAAUACAGUAUUUGUAGCACUGAGAUUCAAAAUUUAAAGGCCUGCAAGGAUGUCUUCCUAACUCUUACAGUGCACUGGAUAACAGGCUUAGAAAAUGAUUGUAUGGCAUAGAUGUGCUGAGACCUGAGUACAAGAGAGGCGCUCCCAGGCACGUUUUGUCUGUCCAUACUAAAUUAUGUUAGUUGGCACAGAUUGAGCUUGUCAUCAUAUCUUAAUCUGAGGUACGAACUCUAGCAGGAUUUUUGGGGGGAGGGGCAGUAACUGGUCAUUUCUUUCUCAUCAGGCAGCAGAAAUGAAUGCUGUGAAAAGCAUUCAAUUAGAUUUAUCAAUUCCUUUUCCCUGUAUUGGUUUUUUUUUUCUGCUUUAAUUAUCUCCAACUAAAAUAAAACUUCCAUUCUCCUUCUUAAACUGAAAAGCACCUGCCAGAAGUCUUCCACUCUGUGCUCAUAUUUUUCCUUAUGCUCAAUGAUUGUUUCAAAACACACUCGUAUCCCUAGGGGAAUUUCACUCAAUCAAGGAGAAUCUUUUUCCUUUUGCAUCACUCUUUUGGCCUAGGAUGCCCUGACUUUUCCAAAUCCCUUGGAAGCUUUCUCUGUAUCUCAAAUUUUGCUAUAUAUAUCCAGGAAAGCCAUUCUUAGGUUUGCAAAUAUUGCUCCUGACUGAUAGACAUUUGGUUCUGUUUUCACCUGAACUAGACAAUUUUCAUGUGGAGGAAGGAGCUCUCAUAGAAUCAGAAUCAUGGAAUUGGAAGGGACCUUUAACAUUCAUCUAGUCCAACUCCCUGCAAUGAACAGGGACACCUACAGCUAGAUCAGGUUGCUCAGAGCCUGGUGCAGCCUGACCUUGGAUGUUUUCAAGGAAGAGGCAUCUACCACCUCUCUGGGCAACCUAUGCCAGUGAUUCACUAGUCUUAAGCUUUGUCAAGCCUUGGACAUGUAAUUUAUAUAUGAUAGUAAAUAAACAGAUAUGACAGCAAGCAAAAUAAAAAUAUAUUUUUUAAAUUACUGGAACUCCUCUUAGUUCUUGAAGAAGUACUUUCUGCUCAGAGCUUGAGUCUGAGAUGCCCUAGGCUAUCCCACCUAGCCUCCAGCUCUGACCUAGGGAUGCUUACAUCACCUGUAGGUCCUGGGGCUGUCAUGCCUGCCCUGUGUAGUUCUCUGCUUGCCUCACAUGCAUUCUGUAUGGCAUUCUGUAAAGGCAUGCACACUGGUACCUGUAUGCUUCUAAGCACAUUUCCUCACACAUUUUCUCUUUCUUUUUCUCUGUUUUACCCCUACACUCUCAGCUUCAUCCCUGCUUUUCUCUAGCCUGUGAAAACUGGGGUCCCUGUGUUUAAGAGAACAAUUAAACCCUAACUUUUUUUCAUAUUGCCAUCAAAUUAAAGGAUUUUCUAUGCUCAUAGUUUCUCUCUCUUCUAGUAAGAUUUUUUGCUGGAAGUUAAGGGACUGCUCCUGCACUUCUCAAAGACAUAGCAAAGAUUCCCUGGAAGAAGAGUUUAUAAAACAAGAAAGCCAUAGAGAAGAUGAUGAGAGAGAAAGGGCAGAAGUGGAGCAGAAGAGGGAGAAAACUCACCAGUGAGAUUGCACAGAUGUUCAGCAGGGAAGAGAGCAUUGCCUGGUGGAAGGAAGCAGCUAUUAAAUGGAAAAUAAAUAACUGUCAAGCCCUGUUGUUGUGGAAGAAAGAAGAGGGCAUAGGGAGAGGACUGCAUUUGGAUUGUCUGUUUUGCAUCCAGUAUGCAGCUGUGAUAGAACAAGAGUCAUGGGUUAAAGCAGAGGACUUGUUCAGUUCAUCUUGGUUCAUGCUCAAACUCUCACUAGAGAAGAGUGGUGAGUCAUAUACAGUGGUCCACGCAUGGGAUGCUAACUUCAGGAGACAGUUGCCCAGCCAUGGAAGGAGGGAAAAGACUUGAUAACAGCUCUCAGGAGGUUUGAGCAUCUCUGUGGUAAUGUCCCUGAAAAUGUGUAAUGUCAACCAGGAGUGAAAAUCUCUGCAGGGAGGAAGGAAAACACAGUGUCUUUGGUUCACAUCACUCCAUGGAGAGGAGGCUCUUGAUGCACAACGAAGCCCUUAUAUAUGUCAGUGACCGAAGGAAAGCUGAAGACUAAAGGGGGUGGAGGAAAAGUGCAUUAAAAUAAUAAAAAAUGUGUUAUGAAAUUUCAGUCAAAUGUAUGUAAAUCUUUAUUAAUUAAAGGACUUCUCAACAUGAUAAUGUGGCCAUGUAUUUCUUGGCAUUUUCACAAAUGAGGAAGCGCAGCUUCCUGCACUGGCAAUUGAUCUGCUUCCCAGUGUUAACAUUAACAUACUUGAGACUUUACAGCUGUUAACUUGAUGACUUUACAAUUGAUAUGAAACGUUUUCCAUACUGUCUUAAUCUUGUAAUCCAGAUUCUGCCACCUUUGGUCAUCGUGCAUGGCAUCAGUUUAAUAAAUAAGGUUGUUAUUCU